AGUGGGUCUCCACAAAGAGAGGCUUGGAGCAAGUCUAGAAAUGCGAGGAAACCUAACCCAUUCCCAUCAUCCAACGCGAGCGGCUGGGAACGAGUCGGGUACAGAGACACGAAGACUACUAUUUUAAAAAGAUCAUGAAGUGUGCAAAGGCGAUACAAGUUUUGGCUUUUGGUGGUCCUGAAGUGUUGCAAUUACAUGAUGUGCCUAUUCCAAGUGUAGGCAAGGGGCAGGUAUAAAAUAUUAAAGUGGGCAACGUCCCAUUAUGUAUAUUAAAUCUAUGUUAUUAAUGAGAGCCCCCAAGAGGGAACGGCUGGAACCGAGCCUAAUUAAUAAGCUGUCUGUUACUUGUCUAGUUAGACAGAUACAUAGUUUAUUAACAGUGGCGGCAAAGGGGG